GCCAAGUGGGUAUCCGCUGCUAGCAGUGCUAGCUAAUAACAACUACGUCAAAAAAUAAAUUCAAGCAAAAGAACGACAAAAAAAUGUGUUUUAUUACUAGAUACCAGUAAACAAUGGACAACUUUGUACGAUGUUGAUUAUUUAGCACACAACACAAGAUUUUAAUCUGGACAGCGCGGACCAGAGAUGCUGGAGUGACUGAGAACGAUUGGGAAGAGGUGAGUUAAAUCUGCCAUGAUGUGAACCUUGACCAAGUUUUCAGCAGAUUCACUGAUAAUGACCGAAAUAAGCCACUACACCUUUUGUAGCUCAUUCUGAGAGGUCUUAUUUGGUUCCCUUGCGAUUUGUGGUCACGUUAUUGUUUUCCCUUACUAUCCAAGCAUUUAUAAUUACCAUCCACGUAGGUGGUAUUAUUAUCAAACGACAUGACAAUGAAAUAAAAUAAUUGUAAAGGCCUAUACCAUAAUACUAUAUUUUGUUAAAAAUGUUGGCACAAUGCCCAGACCUUUAGCAGACAAGAUGAAAAACAGUUACAACCUUUAUCCUCUGACACUGAAUCAGUUGACAAUUCAGUGGAUGACGUAUCCAUUUUUAAUUUCUUUAAAUAAUUAUUUGUUUAUGGAAUACAUUUUCAAAUCUGGUCUUCAACUAUGGGUAAGGAGAAAUCAUAAUGCAUACUGUGGGUGAACAUAACACAGAUCCUUUGGGUGGAGGGAUUGGGAGGUGGGCCUUAUAUAUCUUUAGGCCUGCCUUAUCACUGUGAGAAAAUUACAGAUUAUUAGUUGUGAGUUAGACUACUAUUGAGUGGCAACAUGUUAAGAUCCUAAUACCUUGCAUACAGCAACUUUCAAUUGUUAUGCAGAUAAGGGCAUAAAUUCCUCUCAUAUAUGCAUGCUUUUAAAGUUUUGUGUUUUUUCUCCAAAAAGUGCACGUAGUGCAACCAACAAGGAUUUCUGGUGGAAAAAAAUAUUCUGUUCUUUAGACUACUAACCUGUGUAGUUCUUGCAAAUCCUCUUGUAUGUGUAGUUCUUAAACUAAGACACCAACCUCCCCAUGCCGUCCUUUCAUGUUGAUUUUAUGAACGAAAAGCCCAAGGCUGUAAAUCCUGGAUGUCACUGGAAUGAUCCUGUGAACUUUCAGAAAAUUAGGGUGGGUAGCAGUCUGUCUCAUUGUUAGAAGGUCACAGGAGUGAACAACCACCUGCUGCAGAGUGGUGAUGACAGCUGACCUUGCACUGUGAAACGUCUGUGCUAACGUAUAUACGUGCAGAGGCAUCCAUGUACAGAAUGUGCACUUCAGGGCUCAGAUGAGACCACUGAAUUGCAAAACUUGACAAGAAUUUUUAUCAGUAAGGCAAACUCCAAAGCUCCAUGCGACUAAACAAAAAAUGUCUUCCAAAUGUGACCUGAAAUUGUGAAUGUUUUGGUUUUGAUAAAACUUAAAGACAUGCACACUUCAACUGAAGAAUCUAGCUUAAAGCCUUAUUCUUCUCAUUGUGGUUAAGAGAGACCAAUAAUAGCUUAUUACUUAUUUGACUCUUUGACGUAGCAGCACCCUUUAAUUGUUACUAGUAGUUGAAGAAUAAAAGUGGUUUCAUAUUCAGUUAAAUCAUAUGGUUUUUGAUGAUUGCUCACUGGGUUUGUUAGGCAUUAAUCACAUAUGGAGUCAUAAGCUCUAUUGUCUGCAGAAAAAUUUGACCCAGUUUGUUCAGGUGUGGCAUGUGAGGAUAAUUCUAUGUUUGGAAGGAUGUUCUGUGGCACUUCACAUUCAUAUUAAACCCUUGACAAACCUCCACUGAUGCAUCUUUCUCCUUAAUGUCUCUCAUUAAAUACUGUCACAAAAAAAGUUUUGUCGUUUCUCUUCUCAAAAAGAAAAACAUGAUACUAUGUUUUGGUCAGGAAAUGCGUGUUUCUCAGUGCCUGGACGUUGCAUGUGCAGGUUUUCAUUUUGAAAAUAGGUUAUUACUGGUCCCCCUGGUAGGAUUAGUUAACUCCCAAUUCAGCUUUAGCAAGAUUGGAUUAGAUUUUGGGGUGGCGGGGCUGAGACUGGUUAGAGGACAGUGACUGAUUGGCUGAUGGAUGUAAAUAGAGGGUGGUAUUAGAACACCAGCCUUUCCCUAUUGGCUAGUCAGCAGAGCCGGUGCUUUCCCAUCUGCCUCCUGCAUCUCAAGGAUUAUCCCCUAGAAUACCUCCACAGAUGUUUUACAACAGAGCAUAAACCACAAGAACAGAAUACAGUUUGGGUGCUCAAUGUGCAAUUUGUAACAGUUACAUACCUUAAAGAGAAGUGGGAAAAAAACGAUCUGUUUGGUGUGUGGUUUGUUUUUUUGUCUUUCUGUUUUAUUGUUCUGAUAACACAGUACUCCAUUCAUAUAUUUGCUGUAUUGUCAGUGCUGUAAAAAUGCAUUCCUUGGCAAUAAAAUAAAAAAUGAA